rnacentral:rRNA from 1 species
GAUGAACGCUGGCGGCGUGCGUAACACAUGCAAGUUGAACGACGAUGCCAUGAAGUGGUAACACGGAGUGGUAUACGGAGUAGCGGACGGGUGAGUAAAGCAUGAGAAUCUGUCCUGCCGAGGGGGAUAACGUUCGGAAACGGACCCUAAUACCCCAUAGUCCGAGAGGUUAAAGCGGAGACGCGCGGCAGGAGGAGCUCGUGUCCUAUCAGCUAGUUGGUGAGGUAAGGGCUCACCAAGGCUUCGACGGGUAGCCGGCCUGAGAGGGUGACCGGCCACACUGGAACUGAGAAACGGUCCAGACUCCUACGGGAGGCAGCAGUGGGGAAUAUUGGGCAAUGGGAGGAAUCCUGACCCAGCGACGCCGCGUGAACGAAGACGGCCUUCGGGUUGUAAAGUUCUUUUAUGUGGGAAGAAUUAAGUGACGGUACCACAUGAAUAAGCCCCG